rnacentral:rRNA from 1 species
UACAGAGGGGGCAAGCGUUGUCCGGAGUUACUGGGCGUAAAGGGUCUGUAGGCGGCUACGCAAGUGUCGUGUGAAAGCCCCCGUGCUUAACACGGGGAGGCCACGGCAGACUGCGCAGCUCGAGGGAUGCAGAGGGUGGUGGAAUUGCCGGUGUAGUGGUGAAAUGCGUAGAGAUCGGCAGGAACACCCAGGGCGAAAGCAGCCACCUGGGCAUCAACUGACGCUGAUGGACGAAAGCGUGGGGAGCGAACCGG